rnacentral:rRNA from 1 species
CCUGAUGGAGGGGGAUAAUUACUGGAAACGGUAGCUAAUACCGCAUAACGUCGCAAGACCAAAGAGGGGGACCUUCGGGCCUCUUGCCAUCAGAUGUGCCCAGAUGGGAUUAGCUAGUAGGUGGGGUAACGGCUCACCUAGGCGACGAUCCCUAGCUGGUCUGAGAGGAUGACCAGCCACACUGGAACUGAGACACGGUCCAGACUCCUACGGGAGGCAGCAGUGGGGAAUAUUGCACAAUGGGCGCAAGCCUGAUGCAGCCAUGCCGCGUGUAUGAAGAAGGCCUUCGGGUUGUAAAGUACUUUCAGCGGGGAGGAAGGCGAUAAGGUUAAUAACCUUGUCGAUUGACGUUACCCGCAGAAGAAGCACCGGCUAACUCCGUGCCAGCAGCCGCGGUAAU